rnacentral:rRNA from 1 species
UAGCUUGCUACCCGCUGACGAGCGGCGGACGGGUGAGUAAUGCUUGGGGAGCUGCCCGAUAGAGGGGGAUAACAGUUGGAAACGACUGCUAAUACCGCAUAACCUCUUCGGAGUAAAGCGGGGGAUCUUCGGACCUCGCGCUAUCGGAUGCGCCCAAGUGGGAUUAGCUAGUUGGUGAGGUAAUGGCUCACCAAGGCGACGAUCCCUAGCUGGUCUGAGAGGAUGAUCAGCCACACUGGAACUGAGACACGGUCCAGACUCCUACGGGAGGCAGCAGUGGGGAAUAUUGCACAAUGGGCGAAAGCCUGAUGCAGCCAUGCCGCGUGUAUGAAGAAGGCCUUCGGGUUGUAAAGUACUUUCAGCGAGGAGGAAAGGGUGUACGUUAAUACCGUGCAUCUGUGACGUUACUCGCAGAAGAAGCACCGGCUAACUCCGUGCCAGCAGCCGCGGUAAUACGGAGGGUGCGAGCGUUAAUCGGAAUUACUGGGCGUAAAGCGCAUGCAGGCGGCUGAUUAAGCCAGAUGUGAAAGCCCGAGGCUCAACCUCGGAAUAGCAUUUGGAACUGGUCAGCUAGAGUUCUUGAGAGGGUGGUAGAAUUUCAGGUGUAGCGGUGAAAUGCGUAGAGAUCUGAAGGAAUACCAGUGGCGAAGGCGGCCACCUGGCANGUAACUGACGCUCAGAUGCGAAAGCGUGGGGAGCAAACAGGAUUAGAUACCCNGGNAGUCCACGCCGUAACGAUGUCUACUC